rnacentral:pre_miRNA from 1 species
AAUAAGUGCAGUUUUACACUAUUCAUCUUCAACGUUUGACCGUUCGUCUUAUUUGAAAUUUUUUUAUGAUUAUUAUUUUUAUUGUUAUUAGAUGAUAAAACAUGAAUAGUACUUUAUGUGUGACUAUUUUUUUUAAAAAAUAAGACGGACGAUCAAACGUUGAACACGGAUUUCGACGACUGCAUUUAUU